AGAAUCAACGCUGGCGGCGUGCCUAACACAUGCAAGUCGAACGAGAAAGUGGAGCAAUCCAUGAGUAAAGUGGCGCACGGGUGAGUAACACGUGACUAACCUACCUUUUAGUGGGGGAUAACCUAGGGAAACCUGGGCUAAUACCGCAUAAUACCUACGGGUCAAAGCAGCAAUGCGCUGGAAGAGGGGGUCGCGGCCGAUUAGCUAGUUGGCGGGGUAAUGGCCCACCAAGGCAGUGAUCGGUAUCCGGCCUGAGAGGGCGCACGGACACACUGGAACUGAAACACGGUCCAGACUCCUACGGGAGGCAGCAGUGGGAAUUUUGCGCAAUGGGGGAAACCCUGACGCAGCAACGCCGCGUGGAGGAUGAAGACCCUUGGGUCGUAAACUCCUUUCGAUCGGGACGAUAAUGACGGUACCGGAAGAAGAAGCCCCGGCUAAACUUCGCGCCAGCAGCCGC
rnacentral:rRNA from 1 species